ensembl:lncRNA
GAAAAUGUCUGAAAACCACCUAUAUGUUAGGCAUCUGGUAUUCACAACGUAUAAAGAAAUCUAGAAACUCAUCACAAAAUAGCAAAGAACCCAAUUAAAAUAUGGGCAAGGGACUUGAAUAAAUAUUUUUCCAAAAAAAAGAUAUACACAUAGAUAGCAAGUAGAUGAAAGGAUGCUCAACAUUAUUAGUCAUUAGUGAAAUGCAAAUCAAAACUGCAGUGAGAGAACACUUCACAUCCAAAAGGAAGUGUUAGCACUGAUAUGGAGAAAUUGGAACCCUCAUACGUUGCUGGUGGGAAUGUAAAAUGAUUCAGCUGCUGUGGAAAACAGUUUGGCGAUUCUUCAAACAGUGAAACAUAGAAUUAUCCUAUGAUCCAGCAAUUCCAGUCACAGGUAUACACCCAAAAGAAUUGAAACAGGUACUCAAGCAAAUUCUUGAACCUGAAUGUUCACAGCAGCAACAUGACCGCAUAGCCAAAAGGUAGGAACAGCACAAAUGUCCACAAAGAAAGAAUGGAUAAGCAAAUGGUGGGAUAUCCAAACAAUGCAGUAUAAUUCAGCCUUAAAAGGUAAUGAAGCACUGAUACAUGCUACACUGAGGAUGAACUUUCAAAACCUGUGCUACCUGAAAGAAUCCAGAUGUGAAAGUCACAUAUCCUGUAUUCCUUUUGUAUGAAAUGUCCAGAAUAGGUAAAUCCAUAGAGACAGAAUGCAGGUUGGUGUUUGCCAGGUGGAGGUGGGGAGGAAUGGUGAGAAACUGCCUGAUGGGUAGGUUUAUUUUGGAGUGAUUAAAAUGUUUUGGGACUAGAUAGAGAUGGUGGUUGAACGAUGUAUUAAACGCCAUUGAAUUAUUCAGUUUAACAUGGUUAAUUUUAUGUUAUGUGAAUAUCACCUCAAAAAAAAGUGAGCGGUUUUGUAUAAAAUCCUGACUUCUGGGUUUUCUUCAACAGUCAGGACUCUGGUAACCUUGGGCCCCAUUCCCACCUGGGUCUUGCUGAGCAGCGGACACCUCCUCAUGGAGUCAUGGUCUCACCAGCUCACCCAGCCCCACAGGUGACAGUGGGCCCAUUGUAUCCUGUAACCACCUGCUUUAGUGUGUCCUGAGGAUUCCAACUGUGCAUCAGUUCAUAUUCCCUGAGCAAGCAUUUGAAAACUCUAAGACUGUUCUUGACCUUGAGAAGGUUUGACUUUCAUGUCAGAUGAGGUAGACAGACAGGCACAUCAACAAAUCACAGCAUAACAUCAAGUGCAGGGAAAAGGAGUGUGGCAGAUCUUAACUCAAGUCUAUGAGGAUAUUGCAGGCAGAGUAAUGGUCCCCAAAGAGCUCCACACGCUAAUCCCCAGAACCUGUGACUGUUACCCUACAUGGGAAAAGGGGCUUUGCAGAUGUGAUUAAAUUAUGGACCUUGAGAUGGGGAGAGCCUCCUGGAUUACCCAGGUGAGUCAAUCUAAUCACAUGGCUCCUUAAAAUAGGAUAACCCUUCCCAGCUGGGUCAGAGAGAGAAACAGAAGAAGGAAGAGGAGAGAUGUGAAACAUGAGAGGGUCUCAACCACCAUUGCUGGCUCUGAAGAUGGAGCAAGGAGCUGUGAGCCAUGGCAGACACAUGGUCCCUAGAAGGUGGGAAGGCCCUCAGCUCCCAGCCAGAAGGAAGCAGGGAUCUCAGUCCUACAGCCGCCAGGAGCUGAAUUCUGCCCAGAACCCACGUGAUCGAGGAAGCAGACCCUCCACUGGAGCCUCCAGAGAGAGACGCAGCCUGCAGACACCCCGAAUUUAGCCCAAGGAGCCCCAUGUCCAACUUCUGGCCUGCAGAGCUGUGAGAUGAGGAGUCUGUGUUGUCUAAGCCACUGAGUUCGUGGUAAUUUUAGGUCAGCAGUAGGUUUCCAACACAGACGGCUGUGUUUCUGGAAGUAAGAAGCAGCUUGCACAGACUGGAAGGCUGCUCCCCGAGGCCAGGCAUGUGCUUGUGGUGUUGGGCUGGGACUGACUUGGUUGGUGAAUAGAAAUAAGACGUGUGAGAGGGUGAGGGCAGCUGCCCAGUGGAGAGCGUGGGCAGCGCUCACCAGUGUCCUGAGAGGUGGGACGGGGGACUCGGCCCCAGGCCAUCCCCACUGCAAACCAGAAUCUCAAGAAUUAAUCAGCUGCCAUCAGAGCCCAAUGGUGCCCUUUGCUUAGCAAACUUGUAGAAGAAUCAGCAGAUCAACCUCCUCGAAAUGGUGAGGGAAGGAAAUACGUUUGGAAACUGAGUGAUGUGCUGAAGGCCUUUUAUUCCUAAAGGGUUGUCGUGUUUGUGCUUUUCAUGUCCUGCCUGUGAAAAUAAUACCUCUGAAGAUUUGUUUCGUUAAGAAACCUAGCCUUUAUGUUCUGUGCUUUGCUCACACUGUCUAAUGGCUCUCAGAGAGGGGUCAUUUUUUCUUUCGCUGGCAGGUCUGAACCACACACCAUUACUUAUCUUGUAGUCAGGGAAUUUCUCUCAGCUUCCGUGUCAUCACCAGCUGCACCAGCUCUGCCACUGAUCCCAGAACGUCUUCUAUGACUGUGGCAAUGACGGCUUCCUCUAAAGACCCACAGCGAAUUCUCGGGAUGAGGCUGAGCACUCUCCUGUGGGCCGGAGGAGAUGGACCUUCCUGAGAGAGCCGUGGUCUGAGAGUGCAGGGGGGCUGGAUGAUGGGAGGUGAGAGGGUAAGUGUGAGGUGCACCCAGAGACUGCUGAGGGAGACGCCCUGCUGUGAGGUUGCUGGAGGAUUCCUGGAGGGAUGUGCCAUCGCAUUUGGGGGCAGUCAAGUUUGCCUUGUGUGAGAGAGUCUGAGAAAGAGAUGACACUGGCUGACACAGGAGGCCAAGUGAACACUGGGACAGGCUGAGCAAUUUCAAUGCUCCCUCAGGUAUAACUUAAAACUCAUCUCAAGUGUGUUGACUGAAAACUCAGACUCUCUCCUUCUGGAGGAGAAAGAAAGGACAGAUGAAGAAAUGAAAGGGAUGCUCUGACUAAGUGUUAGUAAGCCACAGGCUUGUUUGAAAGGCAAGAUUGUAGGGAAUCAGAACAUCAGUUUUAAUCUGAAAGAAAAAAUAAUACAAGGGUAGUUCAGUUCCUGAUAUCCUCCUGAAGUCGAGGCUGAAGCAGUAGGACCGAGGUGAUAGGAAAUGUGGGUUGAGGCAGCCAGGAGAGGAACAAAACUGCAUUUAACGUGAACAAAUAUUUGAGCCCAGGGUCCUAGUGAUGAGAAAGUAUUUGAUAAAAGCAUUAAAUCUAGUACCUCAUUCACAAAUGUCCUGAAACAGUGGGCAUGACAAAUUUCAAAGUUGUCCCUGCACCCUUUACUGCAAAGUCUGUCUUGUGAACGUGAAGUUAACCACCCCAGCAUUUACUGAGCACCUGCUGAGUGACAGGCCCUGUGCAAGGGCCUUGGGUGGAUGCUCUCAUUCAGUCCUCUCUCAGUGAGAUAGGUCCUGUGACCAUCCACACUAAUCAAUGAAGAAACUGAGGCACAGAGAGGUGAGAGGUGGCAAAAGGCCACUUAUCCGGCAAGGGAUGGAGCCAGGGUUCCCACUCAACUGUGUUCAGCUCUGAGCUGGCACCUUAGCGUCCAGGAUGGUGUGGCGGUGCUACACAAUAUAUAGAGGCUGUGAAAAUAAUGACAAUGUGGUGGAGCCACACAUCACACAGGGCUUAGGUCUAAAUUGAGUUCCUUGAAAAUCACACGUUGCCCAGUGUUGGAACAGAUCACAGUUUUUAGUUUUUUCUGUGUUGAGCGUAAGAUGAAUAAAUGCCUGGAGGGAGCCGGCUCCAUGCCCACUGGCACGUCCUGCCAGAGUCCCAGUGUCCUUCCUGGGGACAAACCAGCUCAGGCAUCCCCAGUGCACCCAGCAGACUCCAGAGGAUGGCUCUCCCGUCCCCGAGAGAGGCCAGGUGCUGGCCUCCACUCUGCCCAGCCCUGAUCCCCUCGGGCUCCUCAUCUGACCAACGGGCUGCAGCUGGGGGACUGCACCGGGCUGGGCUGUGCCUUCCUUCCCUAAGAGCGGGCAGGUCCUGGAACAUGGGGAACUGAGUCGUGGAAAACAGAACAGCCUUUCCCUCACCCUCCUGUGGGCCUCCCCGGGGUUCAUCCAGAAAACGGCCCAUCUUCUCAACCUCUGACCUGAGGCAGACAGAUCCCCAUCCUGGGGCGUCCUCCCCGCUCUCGGCACCUGCCUCGCCUCCAGCGUCCGUGUUGGCCCAGGGUCGGGCCCUUUAAUUUAAAGAUGCCAUUCGUGUGAGAGUUGAGCGUUGUGCCCUCGACAGCGAUGCCUUUUACAAGCUGGGUCACGGAGAACUGUGAGCGGCUACCAGAAAGCACUGGAGCUAGACCUUGUGAGGAACCCGCGCGCACAGGCGCUCACACCACAAACAGCCUCACCAGCCGGAUCAGCUUCAUCCCAGAACGUUCCUUCCGGGGAGCCCUGGGUCUGCUCUGAAGAUGCCCUGGAGCGUCUGGCCGGAUGGGCCGGGUCACGGGGUCUGGGUGAGUGAAGAGUUGUCUGCCAACGCCGAAGACAUUUCAUAACCGUGUGCGGAAAGCGGGAGGCAGUGGACAGAGAGGGGAGUUUGUGUCCUUGGUGAUGGAGAGGCUUGCCCCAUCCUGCUUUAGAGAAGGUCCGUCCUUGUCGCCAGAGCUGGCUGUCCAGGAACAUCCUGUUUGCACACAGAUGGUCACUGUGAAGGACAGAGAGGAGCCUGACUGCAUCCCCUGAGCGCUUGGAUCCAGCCAUGCCUGAAGGGAUUCUGAAGCUGGUUCUCCUAACUGGAGAAGCCCAGAAAGGAGAGCCUGGAGGAGAAGAGACAGAUUCCUUGACCUGAAGCCACAGAUAGGCACCAUGAAGCGGGAUCUCGGAGGGAACCGCACACGAGUAGGGACGGGUCAGAGCAGGACCCUGAAGCCAAACCUCAUGGUCUGAGCCCUGCUCACCACUCAGCUGUGUUACCUGGGACAGGUCGCUUGCCGUCUCCGUAUCCGGGUCUGUCAGCUGAGGACAGUGAUAAGCCCGCCCCGUGGGGUGUGAGCUGAUGAGUCUGUGUGGACGGUGCCCAGGACAAGGCCUGGCCCCCGCGACCCAGGGCUCUGGGCUCUCUCCACAGAACUGCCGGGUCAGGGGACAAUUUCCAUCUCCUGUGGGGACGUGACCUGUGCACCCGCCGGGCAGAGGGUGCGACAGUGUUGGGUGGGGCCUGCUCUCUGCGACCAUCCUGAGAGUGAACGACUUGCAUUCUCACCAUACCCACGUUUAAUUCAUAAGGAUUCAAAUACAUGCAUUUUGCCAGAAAAAAUGAGAAAGCUAAUUCAAAUUAAACUGUAAAAUUAAA